rnacentral:rRNA from 1 species
AGCGAACGCUGGCGGCAGGCCUAACACAUGCAAGUCGAACGAAGUCUUCGGACUUAGUGGCGGACGGGUGAGUAACACGUGGGAACGUGCCUUUAGGUUCGGAAUAACUCAGGGAAACUUGUGCUAAUACCGAAUGUGCCCUUCGGGGGAAAGAUUUAUCGCCUUUAGAGCGGCCCGCGUCUGAUUAGCUAGUUGGUGAGGUAAAGGCUCACCAAGGCUACGAUCAUUAGCUGGGCGGGGAGGAUGACCAGCCACAUAGGGACUGAGACACGGCCCAUACUCAUACGGGAGGCAGCAGUGGGGAAUCUUGCGAAAUGGGCGAAAGCCUGACGCAGCCAUGCCGCGUGGAUGAUUAAGGUCUUAGGAUUGUAAAGUCCUUUCACCGGUGAAGAUAAUGACUGUAGCCGGAGAAGAAGCCCCGGCUAACUUCGUGCCAGCCGCCGCCGUAAGAC